UUUCUUGUUCUUAUAUGCGAUGGAUGUUUCUCUCUGCCUGUUUAUUCCUUCAGGUGGAUGUUUGUCUAAGUGAUGGAACCCUAGCUAGGGCUGUUGUCACGAGUGGCACCUUGACAGGUUCUAAAAUGUGAGUAUGCUGUCCGUGGAGAGAUUGUUACCCAUGCCCAGUUAUGGUGUUAUAUCUGUACCAGAGGUGACGGAUUGACAGCCUCUAACUAGCAAUGAUAGAUACCUGGUGGCUGCAAUUGAUGGGGUCUCCGAGAAAAUGACUGUGCAGGAUAUCUGUGAUCUAAUAUGGGAUGUACGCAUUCAAGACAGUGAAAAAUCAGAAUCCGUUUCUACCAACACAAAAUUGUUGGCUGUGUGGAAGGCUAUGUGGCACUUCAUGUGCAUUUGUAGUUUGUUUUGAAAACCUUAAGUAGACCAUUCAUUGUUUUGUUGGUAUUGUGCUGAUUGUUUUGUCUUGAUGAAUGUUAAAUGGGUGAAACAUGCACAGGUUCAAUCAUUGGUUGAUUAUGAUAUUGUUAGCUUCGGUUGAUAGAAACGAAGGCUAAAGAUGGAUUUAGUAUUA